AGAGCUAUGUGUUUCAUGCGUG
rnacentral:siRNA from 1 species